GGCGACGGCGGCCAUCGCGGUUCCGCCGGGUCGGCGCCUACCGCAUCAGCGCCAAGCCACGAUAAAAGGGGAGCCACCAGGAGGACGCCGUCAACCUCGUCAAAUUCCCCAUGACCUAGGGCUGUGCUGAUGUGCUGCUGCCACCUACCGGAGCUGCUGCCAGCGGCCACCUUUCCGAGCUCCUGGCCGUCGCAGACCACCUCCCCAACAAGUUGCUGCUGGGGUAUGCUGCUCAUGUCGGAGGGGAACCAGGAGGAGGAAGCAUUGUGUUUUGAUGUGGCCAACACCAUCGGCAACAUCAUGGAGGCACUCACGUAGCUGGGAAAUCAACUAGUAUAUACUGGUUACGAUUGUUCUAGAUUAAAUGCAGCAUGGAGCUUCCAUUUGCUCUUCUACAAUUGAUGCAUGAGUUUGUUCUAUGUAGAUUAAAUGCAUGACUUGGUUCAGAUUGGUUGGACACGAAUUUGCCAUGUUCCCUAGUAUUGCUUCUUUUUCUUCAUGUACAGCAAGUUGUUCUUGUGGGAAGAUUGAGAUACAUCUGAUCCAUAUCAUCGCCUUAUUAUGUUACAGUCUUUGCGAAAUAUCUGCAUUUGGUUUGCUAAUCAUGCUGCCUUUUUUGUCCAAGGAAGGAUAACAAGGAGGACUGAUCGACCAUCGCUGCCCCUCCUUAUUCUUCGAGUCCAUGUGUUUUCUGGGU